GAACGACUGAACUGGACAAAACUAGGUAAAUUUUAUAGCCCAGAACAACCUCAACCCUUACAGUAUUAUCGGAGGUUGUGGGGUUCUUCCAUACUGAACAAUUCAAUGCAAUUUAAAGCUCACCUGCCAGAUCAAUGUUAUCCUCAACGUCGAUUUUUGUGGUAUACAGAAUUGCAACGGGUACGCAGUAAGUUUGCCUGUCCUGUAUGAUGGGGGUAGUACUGUUAUGAUUGUUGAAAUUGGUAGCUAUAAAUCCAUUUUCUGAUGAAGAUUAUGAUGUGCUUCAUCAUAGUACUAUAGUAGUGCAAACGUCCUCUAUGCCAAAGAACUUUGCUAGAAUGGGAGAGUUCUUUCUUUGUGUACUUUCACAAGAAAUAGAGGUUUGGAUUGCUCAUAAUGCAGAGGCAGCAAGACCAGAACACGCAAAAUAUUGAUAGGCAACUCUCUGUUGCUAAUUUGGCCGAACAUUAGAAAAGGGUAGAGGUUUUUAGAAGUAUGGCAUACCAUAUCAAGUGCGUACCUGUAUUCCAUGAUGGUUCUUGACCAAAAUGAAUGCAAAAGUAGCCCUUAUACUUAGAUAGUCUGAAACCAAAAACUACAUGAUGGAGUAAGGCAAAAUUCCAUGGUUGUAGCUGUUUACUUUCUGCCUGUUGUGAAAAUUCUGUUUUCUUUCAGAGCAAUGGUAACUAAAAGGCAUAACAUUUAGACCUAAAGACGGAAAGCCUCAGAGAUGGCAUUACGCAUAUCAAAGAGCUUGCACCUAUUUCCUAACUGAUGCUUCCUUCACCGAACACACCUGUGUAAAAGAUUUUGGCAAAUGUGACCGUAUGUGAUUUGUACAAUAUAAGCAUAGAGUCACUUCCUUUUUCUCCCCGUGAAUUUUUGGAGAGUUAUUUCAUGUUCUGUAGGCCAUUCAUGCAUUAUGUCUACAUUAUCACACAACAUUUGUUUUUGUGCAGAAACUGAGAACAAGGUCAAAAGGUCUUUGAAGCUUAUUAAGAGCAUCAACCAAAACAGAGAAGCGAAUCUAAAGAAAAAGAUGGAACUUACUCAGCUCGUUGAGGAUAUCCACAAAGAGUACCAAUCCAUUUAUGCCCUCUAUGAUAAUAUCAGAGGCGAAGUAAGGAACAAAGUGCAUGGAAAAGAUGAAUCAGGUUCUUCUUCUUCUUCAUCUACUUCUUCCUUGGGGUCCAACUCAGGUACAGAAUAUUAUACACCAGAGGAACUAAAUGCUAGAAAUGCGGUACCUAAUGUUGAGCUUCAAAAGGUAAGGAAAAGUGACAAUCGAAAAUGUGAAGAUUCAGAUCCAGAAGAUGCCAUCUUAAAAGAUAAAUUGACCUCCACCAGUGAAAUUAAGAAAUCCCCAAGCGUGGACUCAUUAGUAUCUCUUCACGAAGCACCACAAUCAAGUGUAAUUUUUAAAGAUCUAAGGAUUCAAGAAGAGCAGUCUCAAAGCGUAAGACAAAAGUUACUUGAUGAAUGUGCACAGUUAAAGGAAAAAUUGCAUGAGAAAGAAGAGGAGAUAGUGUCCAUCUCCAAGAAACUCCAAGCUUUUGGGGACCAAAAAUUGUUUGAGAUAGAGGAGCUAGAGAGGCAGGUGACAAGUCUGAAGCUUGAGCUGGAAACAGUGACCUCGCAGAAAAAGACCUUAGAAGAGACAGUUGAGACCAAGUCUAAUGAAGCUAAACAGAUGGGGAAGGAAAAUUCAAGACUACAAAUUCUGAUCAGAGAACUUGAAUCACUAUCAAAAGAGAAAGAAACUCAAAUUUCUUCUCUUCUUGAGAAAUUUGAAGAAGACAAGAAGCAGUCACUGUCUAAAUUUAAGGACCUGAUGGCACAAGCCAGUGAGCUUCAGCUGGAAGUAGAUAGUUUGCGCUCUCAGAAACGCAUAUCAGAAGAGCAAUUGAUGCAUGCAACGAAUGAAGGAUCUAAUCAAGUCAGUAGUCUAGUAAAACAGGUAGAGUUUCUGCAACAGCAACUCGAUUUCAUCAGCAGCCAAAAGUCUGAGUUGGAGUCGCAACAUAAAAAUAAAUCUCUAGAAGCAUCAGAAUGCUUUAUACAGAUGGAAAAGACGAGAGAUAAAUUAACAGACAAGGCCUUAAAUGGGCAAGAGAUAACAGAAGACGAGGCCUGUCUAAAAGUAAAGGUAGAAGAGUUGGAGCAGGAGAUACGUACAAUAUCCAGUCAGAAGAUUGAAUUGGAAGAUCAGAUAAUUAGCACAAAGAAUGAAGCAUAUCAUCUAAAAGUUGACAAUGAGAAUCUCCACAGAAGAAUUUUCGUCUUGGAGACAACUGUGAAAGAGAGAGAACAUGAGCUAUGUGCCCUUCAAAAGAAAAUUGAGGCUCAGGAAAAUGAUAUGUCAACUCAGAUUAAAUCAUUAACAGCACAGAUAAACAAUUUCCAUAAAAAACUGGGAACCUUGCACGAUGAGAAAAGCGGCCUGCAAC
rnacentral:lncRNA from 1 species